rnacentral:tRNA from 1 species
AUCAGGAUGGCUGAGUGAUUAAGGUAUUGGAAUUAAGAUCCAAUGAACAUUAUGUCUGCGUGGGUUUGAAUUCCACUCCUGGCA